rnacentral:rRNA from 1 species
GUGGGUAACCUGCCCUUAAGUGGGGGAUAACAUUUGGAAACAGAUGCUAAUACCGCAUAAAUCCAAGAACCGCAUGGUUCUUGGCUGAAAGAUGGCGUAAGCUAUCGCUUUUGGAUGGACCCGCGGCGUAUUAGCUAGUUGGUGAGGUAACGGCUCACCAAGGCAAUGAUACGUAGCCGAACUGAGAGGUUGAUCGGCCACAUUGGGACUGAGACACGGCCCAAACUCCUACGGGAGGCAGCAGUAGGGAAUCUUCCACAAUGGACGCAAGUCUGAUGGAGCAACGCCGCGUGAGUGAAGAAGGCUUUCGGGUCGUAAAACUCUGUUGUUGGAGAAGAAUGGUCGGCAGAGUAACUGUUGUCGGCGUGACGGUAUCCAACCAGAAAGCCACGGCUAACUACGUGCCAGCAGCCGCGGUAAUACGUAGGUGGCAAGCGUUAUCCGGAUUUAUUGGGCGUAAAGCGAGCGCAGGCGGUUUUUUAAGUCUGAUGUGAAAGCCCUCGGCUUAACCGAGGAAGUGCAUCGGAAACUGGGAAACUUGAGUGCAGAAGAGGACAGUGGAACUCCAGGUGUAGCGGUGAAAUGCGUAGAUAUAUGGAAGAACACCAGUGGCGAAGGCGGCUGUCUGGUCUGUAACUGACGCUGAGGCUCGAAAGCAUGGGUAGCGAACAGGAUUAGAUACCCUGGUAGUCCAUGCCGUAAACGAUGAAUGCUAGGUGUUUGGAGGGUUUCCGCCCUUCAGUGCCGCAGCUAACGCAUUAAGCAUUCCGCCUGGGGGAGUACGACCGCAAGGUUGAAACUCAAAGGAAUUGACGGGGGCCCGCACAAGCGGUGGAGCAUGUGGUUUAAUUCGAAGCAACGCGAAGAACCUUACCAGGUCUUGACAUCUUUUGAUCACC